GGUCGCUUAGCUCAGUUGGUUAGAGCGUGCGGUUUACAUCCGCAAGGUCGGGGGUUCGAGACCCUCAGCGACCA
rnacentral:tRNA from 1 species